ensembl:piRNA 21ur-749 ncRNA
UGAUAAAGGCAGAAUUUUAUC